rnacentral:rRNA from 1 species
AACCUGGUUGAUCCUGCCAGUAGUCAUAUGCUUGUCUCGCAGAUUAAGCCAUGCAUGCCUAAGUGUAAAUACUUUACAUUGAAACUGCGAAUGGCUCAUUACAACAGUUAUAGUUUGCUUGGAGCAUCCAAUCCACCGGAUAUCCGUGGAAAUCCUACAGUUAGUACGUAGCAGCUUCUUUUGAAGCGUUGCAUAUUACUGUGAACAAGUGGCAGAAUUUAUUCUGUCUUACUUGAAAACUUUUAUGUACGAAUCGUGUUCCUACACGAAAGUCCAUCAAAGUUUCUGACCUAUCAGGUUUCGACGGUUGGGUAUUGGCCAACCGUGCCGAUAACGGGUAACGGGGGAUUAGGGUUUGAUCCCGGAGAGGGAGCAUGAGAGAUGGCUACCACAUCUAAGGAAGGCAGCAGGCGCGCAAAUUACCUAUCCCUGACGCAGGGAGGUAGUAAACAGAAAUAAUGACGCAUGAUUCUAAUCGUGCGAUCGGAAUGAGUAGGCUUUAAACAAGCUUACGAAUACAAUUGGAGGGCAAGUCUGGUGCCAGCAGCCGCGGUAAUUCCAGCUCCAAUAGCGUAUAUUAAAGUUGUUGCAGUUAAAAAGUUCGUAGUCGAACAUCAUCUGCUUGAUUGUUUUGGCGUCUAUGACGUUCCAGACAUUUCCAGCAGAGAGCGUGCGAAAAUGUUGUUAUGCGUUUCGUAUAGCAUAGUUUUCGCAUAUUACUUUGAGUGAAUCGGCGUGUUCCACGCAGGCCAGCGCCUUGAACGAUUUACCAAAGUAUAAUAAGAGUAUGCAAGCGUUUCUUUGCUUGUUUAGAAAUGCUUUUCAUACCGAUAAGAACGGCCGAGGGCA